UAGAUACAUGAUCGGACAUCAGAGGGU
rnacentral:piRNA from 1 species